GACGACGCUGGCGGCGUGCCUAAUACAUGCAAGUCGAGCGGGGUUGUCGGAGUGGAGUCCUUCGGGAUGAAGCACCGUCAACCUAGCGGCGGACGGGUGAGUAACGCGUGGGUAACCUGCCCUAAAGCCCGGGAUAACACCGGGAAACUGGUGCUAACACCGGAUACCUUCCGAAGAGGGCAUCCUUUUUGGAAGAAAGGUUAACGCUUUAGGAUGGGCCCGCGUCCCAUUAGCUAGUUGGUGAGGUAACGGCUCACCAAGGCAGUGAUGGGUAGCCGGCCUGAGAGGGUGGACGGCCACACUGGGACUGAGACACGGCCCAGACUCCUACGGGAGGCAGCAGUAGGGAAUAUUGCGCAAUGGGCGAAAGCCUGACGCAGCGACGCCGCGUGGGUGAUGAAGGCCUUCGGGUUGUAAAACCCUGUCCUUGGGGAAGAAGGAAGUGACGGUACCCAAGGAGGAAGCCCCGGCUAACUACGUG
rnacentral:rRNA from 1 species